CUGGCACAGGGGCAGGGCAGCUGCCCACCUUCCCAGCAGGCCAGGCUGGGCUGAGGUAGCAGCACCAGGACCAACAGCAGGGUCACCCUGUAGGAGGCAGGAUGGGAAUAGCAGUCUCCAGGAGUUUCCAACGCGCAGCUGUCUGGCAACCAUGCUCAUCUAGAACUUCGGGUGCCUGAGGCCUGAGCGGACAGAGGUCACCUUGAAAAGACACCGACAGGCAACCAUUUUGCAGCUGGAGAUCAUUCAUUUGGCCCCCCGCGGGAGCUCCUGAGCCCGCCGACACACCCUGGGCUAUCCUGGUGUCCUGCGUGCAUCACGGACCACCACAGAGCUUUCCAGAGGGCCCCCGCCCAGCGCCCCUUCUCCCCAAAGACUCCGACUCCGAAAGCUGGGGUGGGGC